AUGCUCCUGCAGCAAACGGGGCCAAAAGAAGCAGCGGGCAUCUGCAGCCCUGCAGCCCUCCUGCCCUGCAUGGCCCAAGUGAGAACGUGCAGCUUCCCACCUCCUGAAGGAUCCCACCACUGGCUCUCUCUCCCUCGGUCUUUCAGGCUGCUGGGCACUUGUGGUAGCACAGCACCCUGCCCUCUCCCACCCCCAGGCCAUGAAGAGCCGUGUGGGGUCAGCAGCAGCCUUGUCCCUCCUGCCUGCAGCUCCCUGUCCCUGCUGAAGGCACAGCCAGGGAUAUCUGCAACCUCCAGAAAGUGGCUGUGGUCACCAGAAAGACAAAACAAGAAAUAAUCCCUGAAUGUUUGCCAACCCAUGGGCUCCUCUCCGUGUGUCACAUCUGGGUGCUGCGUUUGGGAUGAGCUGGGGGUGUCGGGGCACAGCGUGGGGCUGAGAUUUGGGGCCACAGCUGGGUGCUGCAGGAACAAAAAGGUCGGAUCUGCUCUGCAGGUAAACGCCCCCCAUCCUGGCACCCUCCACCACGCUGUGCCCCCAGGUGGGGGUUUGCAGCCCCCAGCUGCUGCUGGGGAUGGGCACAGCUCAGCGGCACCGAGGGGAGCGUGCGGGAUCGAUCCCCGGAGCGUUUGAUAUUCUGCUUAGUGGAACACUUGUUAUGUCUUUAAUUACUAUUUCUAAAAGCACCACAGGAUGGAAAGCAAAAGCCAGAAAUAAAUAGCGAGGGGUGAUCAAUUGGGCAUGAAACCCUUGUUAUUGAUCACCUUUAACCUCUGCUUAAACUAAUGACAGAGCUACCAUUUAACUGUCCCCAGGCACAAAGCACAUCAAUUGCACGAGUGCCACAUAAAUCACGGUGGGUUGCUGUGCUCUGGGGAGGGCGAGGGGCCCCUCUGGGCUGCAGGGCCCCGGCCAGUGCUGCUGCAGCACCCUCGCUCGGCUCCCCUCUGGAUGCUGCUGCUCCCCCAAAAUGGGCUCCCACUAGCCGAGCCCCAGCUCCCUGGAUGGGGCUGCA
rnacentral:lncRNA from 1 species